ensembl:lncRNA
GGCAGGGGCUGUGUCUCCCCUUCACCCUGGAGCUGCCUCAGGUCGGGGCACUGUUUUCUCCGUGAGGCUGGAGGCUCGCUGAGAGAGACUCUGCUUCCUGUUGGCACUGGGGCUGUGGUCUGGCAGCCAGGCGCCUGGCCGCUCCCCACACCUCCCAGGAGGCCUGGUGCAGAGGGAGCGGGUCAUGUCCUCCUGCAACGCUCUCCAGCCACCCACCACUUGCCGGUGAGUCCACAGCUCCCGAGGCAGCAGGGCCACCCCUCUAUCUGAGCAGGGCCCCUCGGGGUGUGACCAGGCCAGGGGAGGGUCAGCUCCCCACAGGGGGUCUCCGCAGGGGCUCGCUGCCCUCCCCCAGCUCCACCCUUACCUACCUACUCUCCCCCAACUGUAAGCUCACUCAGCAGCCCAUGUCAAGGGAGACUGCUAAACGGGGCCAGGUGGGCGCUGGGCUGAAGCCAAAGGCCUACACUCAUCCUCAGGAGGGGCUUGAGCGCAGGACCAGGGUGGAAGAAGACGCGUGAGAGGCUGCCAGAACGGGGAGGGUCUAGAGCCAGGAGACAGAGCCUCUGUCCUCAAUUCCCGGGGGCCUCGGGCAGGCCCUUCCUUUCUAUCAGCCUGUUGACCCAUGAGGUGACGGGCCUGGGGUAGUCGCUGCAAUCCCUCUGGGCUUCACUUUUUUUUUUUUAAUUUUAAAAAAUUCCAACAGGGACAAUACAUCUUGGAAAACUGUAAGAUUAGGAGACCUCCUGUGAGAGCCCCAGGAAGCCCAAUGAGAGGAAACGCUGUGGAGCGUGGGGGAGGUUUGAAGCUGACACUGAGGAAGCCUUCCUGGGAAGGAGCUUGAGCCCCUGGACAAGACUGGGGUCACUGCUGUCCGGGGCUACAGCUGCCUGGGCAGCAGGAGGGACCUGUGAGCAAAGCAGUGUUGGGAGAUACCUCUGCCCUUGUCUCUGGGAUAGCAGGACUCUGUCCUGGUCAUGCUGGAUGUCCGAUCCUGGCCCUCAUGAGAUCUGACUUUUGACCUUUGGCUUAAUCAUAGACUGAGGUUGUUUGUCCAGUCACCCCACACCAUUAAGAUUGUGCGGAGCCCAGUGCUGGCUCCGGGCAGGGCGGGCAGUCUGUCUGAGGAGGAGACACAGCCUCUGCCCUCAGGAGCCCAGUGGAGGGGCAGUAGGCUCUCCCCCAGGGAAGAGACCUGUCAUAGGGACAAAUGACCUGGGAGGCAGGCGAACCCCUCACCCCUCCUCUAGGGGCAGCUGGAGCCUGAACUGCAUGUGAAUCUGAAACUAGAUCAGGGAAGAGCUGGCAGCAUGCCCGGCAGUGGCAGCAGUGCUUUGGGGAGCUGGUGGGGCUGAGGAAGCACCCGUGAGUCCCCCUGCCCUGGCCGUCUGCAGACAAGCCCUUGGGUGUAAGGGACAAAGGCUGGGUGGGAGAGUGCACACUAUGGGCAGAUGUUCAGGCCUGGGAGAGGGGCGUGCUGGGCUCUCGGUCCUCCAUGCUGGUGAGUGUGCUGCACGCAGAAGAUGCACGAGGCAUCAGUGAGGGUGUGUGGUGCAGGUGUGUGCACUUCUGGUGCAACACGUGUGGGUGAGCCAGGAUGCAGCCCACAAGGGGAGCAGGGAGACUGGGCCAGUGUCUGCCCCAUGAGGUCAUGCUGGGAAAUCUGCCCCUGCUUCCUGGACCUCAAGGCCCCUGCACACAGGGAGGGGUCGGCAGAGACCAGUGUAGGCCUCCCCAGCUCCAUCAGUCUGUGCUCUGAGCACCCGCACCUGGGGAAGCCCCAAGGGGCCCUGCCCGCCCACUGCCAGGCCUUCUGUCUCCCCUUGAUCCCUCGCCUUGGCGCCCCAACAACUGUGCCUGACCAGCGAAUGCAGACUGAGCCAGCUGUCGCUGUGACAUCCAUUCUCCUCGGUGGGCCUGGGUGCUCCCACCCAGCUCCCCUAGCUCCUCUCGCCCGCCUCCCUCCCUGCUACACCCACAUCUGGGAAUUAGGCAGGAUGACACCUAAAAGCCUCCAGUGGCCAUGGAAUCUCAUGGGGUUCUGAGCCUUAAUCCACGAGCUGGUCUCGAGAGACCAAGGUAACAAGAAGUUCUGCUCCCAGCACCCUCAGAUCCCCACUUUCUCUGCCCCGGGGCUCUGGGAGGAUUCCUGGGGCACCAGCCCAGAAGAGGAAAAAGGCGCCUUAUUUGCAUAUCACUUUCAUCUGAUUUGCACAUGCCUCCUGGUUUGGCCAUUUCUAAGCAACCCUAGAAUUUGGAUCUCACAGGAUGCUGAGCCGUUUCUAGGCGCUAGCUUCUCUCCAUCUCCCACAACCCAGGUGCCUCCUAAAGGACAGUCACAUGAGCGUCCCUGCAAAUAAUCCACCUGCCAAUGCAGGAGAUGCAGGUUUGAUCCCUAGGUCGGGAAGAUCUCCUGGAGAAGGAAAUGGCAACCCACUCCAGUAUUCUUGCCUAGGAAAUCCCAUGGACAGUAGAGCUUAGUGGGCUAUUGUCCAUGGGGUCGCAAAGAGUCAGACACAACUUAGUGACUAAAAGGACAUCAAAGCGCAGUCACACGCACGGAACUCUCCCUCCACUCAGCUGCACUUGCACGCAGGCGCAAGAGUACAGCAGCCUCCGCCAAAUGCAGAAAUGCGGAGUCCUGGGCCCCAGCCCUGUGCACCCUCACCCUUGGCCCAUGGAAUAUACACUGAAUACACACUCACAUGUGCAACUGCAUACUUCCGUCUUCACACGCACUCAAAACUCACACACAUUUGUCUACACACAGCCUCAGGGCACAAGCAAACACAACUCAGCUUCACAUAGGAGUUGGGUGGGUUACACACAGUCUCUGUGCCAGGGUGGGCUGCCAGUGAGGUGCCCUAAGCAACAGAUCCCACCCAGCCCCUGAGAUGGGCAGGACUGGCAAGGGUCCUGCUGUGUGACUGGCUGGGAGGAGACAGCGCAGCUCAGGUGGCUAUUGGUAGUGGUUUUACCACCAGCAGGUCCCUAGGAUACACAGUCAAUGUAGCAACCCUUUAGUCAGAGUUUUGUCUUCCCCGAAAUAUGGUUUCAUCCUGCGUUUUCUGUACCAUUUCUGGUCCCCCAACCCCAGGCCUCCUGCCCUUAUUGGUCCCCAAACAGCUUCCUUGGGUGGCCCUGCCUUCUGACUUUAUUCACCCUACUCCCUACCAAGAACACCUCCCUGCCUCCUCCAACGUGAACACCCAACACCUUCAUUCAUGCCCUCUUCCUGGGUGGGCUUCCUUCCCUGUUCUCUCGGCACACUUCUAUACAUCCUUCAAGUCCCACCUUGAGCGUCACCUCUUCGGUGAAUCCUUCUCCAGUCUUACCAGGCAGAAGUAAUCUCGCUCCUCACUCUGUAAAUCCAGAGGCAGAGCAGUGGGUAGAAAGACACAGUUGGCCCUGAAUAUCUGUGUAGAGGAUGUUUAGGGGUUCGGAGGCUUUAUUUGUAAGGAAGGGCAGGGGGCUUUUCAGAAAAACAUAAUUACAUGGUGAGUGUCUGGGUUUAAAUUAUAUUUGUGUUUAUUUUCGGGGAAGAGCAUAGACACCAUAAUCAGACAAUACUGCUUCUACCAUUUCUGCUGUGCAUCUUUGGCCCCGCACCCCUGAGAUCACUAACGUGGCUGAAGGAGCACUGUCUCGCCUUAUUGUUCUAAGGCUGUUCACUAAGCAGGCCAGUAUGUCAAUGAGUUGCUGGGGCAAGUAACAGCAACUUCAUCUGGAAAGCCAGCAGACCAAGGUGGUGGACCAGUGUCCCAAAGAACUGUCUGGCCCAGUUCAUGCAACUUGCAACAAUAACGAAAAACAUGAGCAACCCAAUCAAAACAUGGGCAGAAGACCUCAAGAGAUAUUUCUCCAAAGAAGACAUAUAGAUGGCCAACAGUCACAUGAAAAGAUACUCAAUCUUGCUAAUUAUUAGAGAAAUGCAAAUCAAAACUACAAUGAGGUGCCACUUCACACUGGUCAGAACGGUCAUCAUUAAAAAAUCUAGAAAUAACAAAUGCUGGGGAGGAUUUGGAGUAAAGAAAACCCUCCUACAUUGGUGUGACUGUAAACUGGCGUAGCCACUAUGGAAAACUGUAUGGAUGUUCCUCAAAAAACUAUAAACGGAACUACCAUAUGAUCCAGCAAUCCCAUUCCUGGGCAUAUAUCCUGACUAAACUAUACUCAAAGAGAAACAUACACCCUAUGUUCAUAGCAGCACGGUUCACAAUAGGCAAGACAUGGGAACAACCUAAAUGUCUAUCAACAGAUGACUGGAUAAAGGAGAUGGAAUACUAUCAGACAUAAAAAGGAAUGAAAUAAUGCCAUUUGUAGCAACGUGGAUGGACCUAGAGAUUAUCACACUAAGUCACAAAGACAAAUACCAUGUGAUAUCACUUAUGUGUAAAAUCUAUAAAGAAGGCUGAGCGCCAAAGAAUUGAUGCUUUUGAACUGUGGUGUUGGAGAAGACUCUUGAGAGUCCCUUGGACUGCAAGGAGAUCCAACCCGUCCAUCCUAAAGGAAAUCAGUCCUGAAUGUUCAUUGGAAGGACUGAUGCUGAAGGAUGAAUACUUUGGCCACCUGAUGCGAAGGACUGACUCAUGGAAAAGACCCUGAUGCUGGGAAAGACUGAAGGCAGGAGGAGAAGGGGAUGAGAGAGGAUGAGAUGGUUGGAUGGCAUCCCCGACUCGAUGGACAUGAGUUUGAGCGAGCUCCAGGAGUUGGUGAUGGACAGGGAAGCCUGGCGUGCUGCAGUCCAUGGGAUCGCAGAGUCCGACGCGACUGAGCGACUGAACUGAACUGGUGUGUAAACUCUAAAGUGUGACGCAAAUAAACUUAUCUACAGAACAGAAGCAAACUCACAGACACAGAGAACAGACUUGUGGUUGCCAAGGGGGUGGGGGAGAGACGGAUUGGGAGUCUGAGAUGUGCAGAUGCAAACUAUUAAAUACAGAAUGGAUAAGCAACAAGGUCCUCAUUGCAUAGCCCAGAGAACUAUGGUCAAUACCUGUGAUAAACCACAAUGAAAAAGAAUAUGAAAAGGACUAUAUAUUAUACAUACGCGUACAGCUGAAUCACUUUGCUGUACGCCAGAAAUUAACACGACAUUGUAAACCAACUAUAUUUUAAUAAAAUAAAUUUUUAAAAUA